UACGUAGGGGGCAAGCGUUGUCCGGAAUCAUUGGGCGUAAAGAGCGUGUAGGCGGCUUGGCAAGUCUCGCGUGAAAUCUUGCGGCUUAACCGCAAGCGGUCGUGAGAAACUGCCUGGCUAGAAUCCGGAAGAGGAGAGCGGAAUUCCUGGUGUAGCGGUGGAAUGCGCAGAUAUCAGGAAGAACACCCGUGGCGAAGGCGGCUCUCUGGGACGGUAUUGACGCUGAGACGCGAAAGCGUGGGGAGCGAACAGGAUUAGAUACCCUGGUAGUCCACGCCGUAAACGAUGGGUGCUAGGUGUGGGAGGUGUCGAUUCCUCCCGUGCCGAAGCUAACGCAUUAAGCACCCCGCCUGGGGAGUACGGCCGCAAGGCUAAA
rnacentral:rRNA from 1 species